AAUGCGGUUAUUUUACCUAUGAUGAUCCAAUCCUAAGCUAUAUUUGAAUAUAGAAAUAAUUGAAACAAAACAAUUAAUCUCUUUAAGUGUUCAAAGUCAACUGCGGCGCAAUAUCUCCCAAGUUUUGAACAAAUUCCAGGCAUUGCUCAACAUGAAUUUGCUUGAUGAAAGUUCAAGUACUGGUAAUGGAACAGAGGAUAGAACAGCAGAAACAAACUUUUGAGUGAAAAUUGAAACAGAGCCUCCAAGAAUCGUCUUUGAUGAUAUUUUAUGCUAUAAAACGAUAUUUUCUGCAUAUAUAAUACAAAAA